rnacentral:lncRNA from 1 species
GGCAGAGGGAGAAGCAGGCUCCAUGCACCGGGAGCCUGACGUGGGAUUCGAUCCCGGGUCUCCAGGAUCGCGCCCUGGGCCAAAGGCAGGCGCCAAACCGCUGCGCCACCCAGGGAUCCCAACAAAUGCAUUUCUUAAAAUACUAGCAGCCACAGAGGUUUCGAGGAAAGGGAUAAAAUCCUGUGCUACCCAGUGAUAGACGGUAGCCCAUAGGGUAGCUGACCUGCUGAGAGGGCUCUGGUGGGAUUGGCCACAUGACAGCCAGGGAACAAAUAAACUUUUCUUUCUUCAACUAUUCAGUAUCUGCUGAUCUGGGUGGAAAAUGAAAUUCUAAACCUUCCUGGUGACAAGAUGCUGACUGGUUUAUAGGAAUUUAUUCAACAGCUGAAUAACCUCUUAUUGCUUUUAUCUGUAGAGGUCAAAACUAGAAGAAAGAAAACCAUUUCAAAAAGACAGUGGUGGAGGAGAGCUAAAAAAAGGAAAGAAGAAGAGUUUGCUGAUUAAGACUGAGAGAGCUAGAGUGAAGGAGGCUAGGCUGAAAUUUUGAAGCCUCACUUAUCCUCAGUUUCCCUAUCUGUAAAGUGGAGAUAAAACCAGUACUAGUGGCAUGGUACCUAAUACAUAUGUACCCCUAAACAUGGGAGUUAUUUGUAAAGUGAACAAGUGGUAAUGACUGUGUUAGAUGCCUUCUCUGGUACUUUUCGUUGAUCAGGUAAGACAAAUUAAACCUGGUCAUGAGUCAUAAAUAUCCAAGAUCUUUAAAAGAAAUUAAAUACAUUUUUAUGGGAUCAUAAAAGUAUGGUGGGAGCUCCCCCAUAGCAGAGUGGUUCCCUGUAGUCAUGGAGGUUCAGGCUGCAAGUAUGAGUGUCAUAGCGUCAGGGUUGAGUCAGGGCUGGGACAAGCCCACACCAAGUGCAAACUGAAUUUGUGGAGGAAUUAGCAUAGCACAGAGGGUGAAGAGGAGCUACACUUGGUGGAGAGAAAAAUGAGUGUGUUUCACAGAAGGAUGCUGAGCCAUACAUGGAAUAAACAUGAAAGCACAAGCUGAUUUAGGAGGCCCAGUCUUAGAUCCAAAAAAUUCCCACAGUAAGCUAGAGUCCCUGUAAAAAUCCUCUCAUUACUCAUGUAAACCUCUCAUUACUCAUGUAACUUGAAGGGUUUCUUCACAACCAAAGUGCCUUCCCAGGGGAGCUUUCUGGUUCAUCACUAUAUGCCCCAGUGCCUAGCAAAAUGCCUGGGCCAUGCAUAUUAGCUCAAAUGAUUUUCUAAUGAAAGAUAUUUCCUUUCAUAUUCAUUCAUUCAUUCAUUCACACAUUUGUUUAUUUAUUCCACAAAUAAGUAAUUAAAUUUCUUGAGUACUUAAUGUGUCCCAGCGGGGGUCAUAGCUUUGAUGAAGACAGCAAAGAUCCAUACUGGUGUGGAACACACAUUCUGAUAAGGAAUAGAACAUUAAGAAGUAAGCCAAUAAAUAAAAUAUUGUAGUUGUUGCUCUGAGAGUUAAUCAGGGAGGCAUGAGAGACUGGGUAGAGGGGAAUAGGAGAGAUCUUUAGUAAGAUGGAUGGGGGAUCCUCUCAAAGAUAAUGUCUGAGCAGAGAACUGACCAGUUUGAAGGGGCCAGCCAUGUGUGCCAAUGCUAGCCAUGUGUGCCAGAAGGCAAGCCAACUUGAGGCUGGAGUGAUUCAGAAGGUCUGAGGUACAUGGUAAGUAAAGUGAAGAUGAGAUCAGAGAAGGUGUGACUAGAAGGAACAGGGGGUGUAGUAGAUCCUUUUGAAGCCAGUAUGGUGAAAGGAAACUAACAAGAAAUCCCUGUAGCAGUUUUUCCAUUGGCUGUUUCAAUUCCCCAUACAUAUAUCAGGACAGGGUUGAUAUUCUACUGUUGUGCCCAAGAUCGCGAAUCCGAGAAACCCCCAAGGAGCUGACACCGAUGCAAACACACGAGGGUUUAUUUACAAGCUCAAGCUUGGGUCCAAGUAUACCCAACACAGCAGAGCAGGGAUUUGGACCCCAAGGUGGGUUUCAGCUUAGUUUUAAGGACUGGUCUAGGGGACCUCCAGAAGGGCUGGAGCAAUUCCUCAAGUUCUGUUUACAUUUUGAUGUGGGGCCUUCAAGGGCAUUGAGCUCUGUUCUUAUUUUAAUAGGAGCUUCCUGCCACUGGCUUGGGUUCUGUUUUUAUUCUAAUAUGGGGCUUUCUAGGACGUUAAGCUGUAAGCUGUUUUCUUCCUGUAACUGAAGUAAGGUAAAGUUCAGCUCUUAUUCACAGGGGCCUGGGAUGGCUGUACUUGUGCUAACGCUGAACUUAAGGUGGAAUGGCCUUAAUUUUCUGGGCCUCCACACUACACAUACACACACAGUACAACCGAAAUCCAUUCCCUUGGGUCAGUGCACAUGCCAUGCCAGUUUUUAAGUAUUUUGAAUAUCAUCCUUGCAUCAGAGCCAACUAUGUGUUAAGCACAGAAUUGUAUACAUCAGGUGCAGGAGAGGAAGAAGAGAAGCAUAAUAAACAACUCUUAUCUCCUGCAGUUCAUAAUCAAGUUAGGUAAUAGUGACAUAUGAAUAAUUCAAUUAUGCCUUUCUUUUUUUUGCGAUAAAAAUAAAGUGCUCUAACAUCAAGGAGAAGAAAGCAUGAGGAAUUUGGAAAGGAAUUUGGCCGCAGAGAGACCUACACUGGCACCAGAAGCUGUGAUGGGAUGAUACAGUGCAGGAGGUGAGACAGGCAGAGUGAGAAGCCUGAGUGAGAAACCAGGGCUGUGCAUCAGGAUACAUACACGUGAGAGCGGUGAAAGGGCUGGCAAUGACAGGUGGCAGCAGGGGCAAGAAGUGGAGUAUGAGAGGGAAAACAAGACUAGAAAUACUAAUGUGGGGUGGAUCAUGUGUGCUGUAAAUGUCUGUCUCAACUUCCACCCUCUCUUGUCGGCAGCAGCAAACUUUUGAGAAGGGACAGGGCACUAUGGAUAAAUACUGACUGAUCUUCACCAUUUUCCAGCUGUUUGAGCUGGAAAAAUCUUUCCAUCUAAGUCACACUUCCCUGAUCAGUAAAACUGACAAAAUACCAAACUUCUUGGGGCAGUUGAAGAUGAGGGGAGGUAACAAAUACAAAUGCCUAGCAUGCAGGAAAUAACACACAGUAGUAGUUUCUACUGUGGUGCAAAAUUUAUGAUGAAGGUAAUAAUGCAGCCCAUGCUCAGAGUUACUAGGUGGAGGGGUAAGAAGGAUGAACUGCAGGUAGGGAAGAAAGAGGAGCAUGGGGACCAUAUUUAAAUAAUAAUCAUCUUCAGAGCUAGAGAGACCCUAAAUGUCAUCUAGUUUAACCCUCCCACUUUACAGAUAAAGAAAAGGUUCAAAGACGGGAGUAUUACUUGUUAGAACCAGGUAACUUGACUCCCAAUAUAAUUCUCUUUUCUUCACAUGUUGUUUCCCUGAUCGUUUCUUUACUCAUUCUUUAGCCAACAAAUGGAGUUCAAAACAGAACAAAAUUUACAAUGCAUACUGCUUUCAGUAAUGUUUACUGGAGUUUUUGUUUGUUUUCUUUUUUUAUAUAUUUUAUUUAAAUUCAAUUUGUUCAGCAUAUAGUAUAAUUCCCAGUGUUUACUGGAAUUUAAGCCAAACUAAAAGAGGAUGCCAUUUUGUUGACUCAAAUUAAAGUGACUGGCAUUACAAGGCAUCCUUACCCCCAAGCUAACAUUUUCAAACCUUGAAGACCAUGAUUCAUUCACACCUGUUGUAGGGAGGAGAAUGGGUAGGAAUGUAAAGAACAGCCCCUGGACCUGGGACAGCUCAUCCCCAUUUGAUGCUAAUCACAUGUGAAUGCUUGAGUUAAAAAGACAUCAUUAAAAGUACAUUAAGUUUAAUUAUGCCGGCAGCAUCAGGCAGGGAGAGGCACCGCAUUAAUGCAGAAUGCAUAAUUAGAUAAGACCUAAUCCAUUAGAUUCUUAUUUGUUAAGAAAUGUGUUUCAUCAGUGUCACUGCAAGGAGUGGCUUGGAAACCAGUUCCCAGGUAAGGGCAUUUCUGCCAUCUUCAAGGCCUUCAGUGACACAGACUACCAUGGGAUACUGACAGGGCCAUGCUGCUGACUUGCACGCAAGUCAUGGAGGGCAAGUUCCAGGAUUCCAGGAGGCAGGGCCCAGCUCCCUCCUGUUUUUUGUAUGGUAUGACAAGAGUCCUGAGACAGAAGUGAAGAGACUUGUGCUCUAUUAUUAUGUCAGCCAUUUCCUAGCUGUGGGAUAUCUGGAUAAGCUAUUUAACUUCAAAGGACCUUGGUUUCCUCAGCUAUAAAGUUAACAAGAAUGUGAGGAAAAGGGAACCCUGUGUGCUAUUGGUAGGACUCUGGACUGUAAACUGAUACAGCCACUAUGAAAAAUAGUAUGGAGCUUCCUCAAAAAAUUAAAAAUACAAAUAUCAUCGAUCUAGCAACCCCACUUCUGGGUUUAUAUCCAAAAAAAAA